UACGGAGGAUCCAAGCGUUAUCCGGAUUUAUUGGGUUUAAAGGGUGCGCAGGCGGAAUAAUAAGUCAGUGGUGAAAUCCUGCAGCUUAACUGCAGAACUGCCAUUGAUACUGUUAUUCUUGAGUAUAUUUGAAGUGGGCGGAAUGUGUCAUGUAGCGGUGAAAUGCUUAGAUAUGACACAGAACACCAAUUGCGAAGGCAGCUCACUAAACUAUAACUGACGCUCAUGCACGAAAGCGUGGGGAUCAAAC
rnacentral:rRNA from 1 species